GUGGGCCGCGCGGCCGGCGGAACUGGCUCUCCCUCCCGCCGCCGCGGCCCUGACCCCUGGGGUGCACUGGCUGCUGGGGUCAAAUCCCGGCUGACCUUCCCUCCGGAGGAAAGAUAAAUUAUUAUGGUUGUGGGCGAGCGUCAGGGCAAAUGUUUUCCGAGCCCUCCUCCGGGCUCCGGGUGCUGUCCGAAGCCCCCGCAUUCCUCAGCCCCGGGCGGGGAGCGGCAGCGGCCUUUGUGUCUCCCCGGGGGAGCGCAGUGCCACCUCGGAGGAGACAGCGGACCGGGGUGAAAGCAAACGGAGUGACAUGAGCGUGAGGGUUUUUUUUUUUUUAAUGGUUUCUUUGUUUUGUUUUUUGUUUGGUUAUUUUGUUUUGUUUUGUUUUUUGCAAUCUUUUAAAGCGUCCCUGUGAGCCCGGAAACCUAAAAAUUAACUUCUGCAGCAAACGUUGUGGGUUUUUACCGACGUCUGUGCCUUUGUCUUUUUCAUUGCCUCCUCCCUGCCGAAAAUAUUUGCUCGCUGGAGAGCACAUCCUAGAGAGCUACCGCCCCCCAUCCAUCCAGGAGAGAAGAGCAUCUGUCCUCCAGGCUUUGUCUGCUCUGCGACGGGCCCUAGCAUGGCCAGGCUACAUAAGGAGGCUUUUCAGCCGAGGAGCCGGGUGUUGAACUCGUGCCAUGGGGAAUGAAUUCUCCCUUAGACCGCCCCCCCGCCCCGUCCUCUUCUGGAAGUCGAAGAGGGGCGGUCUGCAGGGAAGCAUAUGUGUGUGCAUGCAUCUUCCUGCCCUGACCGUCUGUCUGUCCUGUGUGCCUUCAAGUUCUCCAGCUUCGCUGUGGACUCGGCUUUUUUAUGGUGAUGAGAUCCCUAGUGGCAGCGAGGCUCAGGACCCUCGUUAGACCCCCAGGCACGCUCGCACGCAGGCACGCACGCACGGUGACUGGUCAUGCAUGAUGGCGUGACACCAAGAAGAAGGAAGAGAGGCCCAAGAUCCUGUGAGUUCUGCUAGCCACGUCCACGCAAGGACUCAGGGAGGGACCCUUGUGUGUGAAGCCAGACAAGGCUGCACUCGACGAGGCCGGCUUUGUAACACAUUCGUCAGUUUUGAGUACUGGUGGUUUGAACACUUGGCUUCCUGUAUGCCUGGCAAGUCCUCUGUCCAAUGGAACUACAUAUCCAGCCCUGAAACACUCUGCCACACACAUGCCCGUCCUAAAUACACACCAAGAAUGAAGAGUGGAUGUCCAGGCAUGGGAGCAGCUGGGUCAUGGCCGAGCACUGCUCUCUAAAAGGGCACACACAAUGGCAAGAAGGCUAAAAGUGGAACCCGCUGGAUGCUGGGGCCCACACCUGCAGCCAGAAGUUUCCGUCCUGCCCAGUCCCCGAAGCCGCUACAUGACAUCACCCUGGAGACUCACUCUCUGCCUUCCUCUUCCCAGCAUUCUCCUAGUCUGGUAGCCCCGCCUAUACUCCCUGCCUGCUACAUCCUGCCCGUCCAUUGGCUGAAACAGCUUUAUUCAUCAGCCAACGAGAGAAGCAAGCAUUCACAGCGUACAGAAGGACAUCCCCUGUCACACAGCAAAUCUAGAUCCCGCACGGGGCUAGGUUCUUGCCGGGUGGGGAAUGGUGGCAUAAACCGCCCUCGGAGAGGAGAAAGCCACUGCAAGGGUAGCAUGCAGGUGUGGUCUACAGCGCCAGAAGGGAAGCCACUGGUGCAGUAACUAUGCUUAGCCCCGGCAGUGAGCGAAUCAGAUUCACCCAUCCACGCCAACAGGUGCUUGCUCCCUUGGUCACAGCCCUUCCCAGGAAGGGAGACUGCCGAGAGUAACAUAAGCUAGCUAGCCAGAAAUUCCUAAAGUGCAGAGAGAUUGAAUGUCAAAGCACCAUCUAGAGAGAAAUUCACUCCAGAGGAAUAAAGCUGCUAUCCUGAAAAGAGCUUAAAAAUAAAUGCGUUUUAGGAACCUCGAGGAGGUGCAUGAAAAGGUAGCAUGCAGAGGGCUAAGGGGUGAUAAGGGAAGAAGCCAAGCUGGGAAGAGUGGAGUCUCUUGUGCGUCUAGCUCCCAGGUGGCAUCAGGAGCCCCAGAUCAAGGCCAGCCCGGGCUACACAGACUCUGUCUCAAAAACAGGCCGAUUAUGUGUAUAACAUGGGUAUGACCUCAAUUGACUUAAACCUAGCAAAUACGCCUCCAACCUAGUCCCAAGCACAGCAAGUCAGACUUCUGGGUGUUUUUGUCCUCCCCCGGUGAGUCUGAUGCUGGCUGGGGAUUGAGAAUCAUCGGCUGAAGUAAAUCUCCAGAUUCCGAUUGACCUUGGGGCCACACCACUUUUCCAAGGUCACACAUUCCCUUCUGCUCAGGUGAGCCUGUUCCGCUCCGACACUGAGCAUGCCUGUGGCCAGAGGAGCAGCACGGACCCAUAGCCACAAUCCCAGGCUUGUGACCCACCCCUGACACUAUCCGGGACCGUGAGCAGGUCCUUGCAGCUGUCCGCGCCUCCGUUUCCUCGUGUGGAAAGUAAGCAAGGGUGACGACACACAUGAACUGCCUCACUGAGCUGCUACAGGGGUCACAUCCAGGCAAGGUUUGCCAAUACUUUUCCACGUGUCUCUCUGAAAUAAGACACUAAGAAGUGUCUGUUCUAGAUCUCAACAUGGGCAACUCGAGGGAGGCGCUGAAGAGCUCUGGGGGAAACCGUACAGAAGCCACCACACAGAAAAGGGGGGUAGAUUUUAGCUUACACGUCUUUUCAUUUUAAUUAUUAGAAGACACUGCAUUAGAACUCCCAUUCGUUCAGACGAUUUCCAUAAAGUUCUGGAGUCUUUGCAGGACUUUAAGUUAUAAGGAGACUGCAAUAUCUUGCUGUGUUCUUGUGCUUUGGAGAGGAAGGGACUGUGUUAUCCUAAUAAAGUUUUGACACAUUA